rnacentral:rRNA from 1 species
GGGUUGUGAGGUUAAGCGACUAAGCGUACACGGUGGAUGCCCUGGCAGUCAGAGGCGAUGAAGGGCGUGCUAAUCUGCGAUAAGCGCCGGUAAGGUGAUAUGAACCGUUAUAACCGGCGAUACCCGAAUGGGGAAACCCAGUGUGAUUCGUCACACUAUCAUUAACUGAAUCCAUAGGUUAAUGAGGCGAACCGGGGGAACUGAAACAUCUAAGUACCCCGAGGAAAAGAAAUCAACCGAGAUUCCCCCAGUAGCGGCGAGCGAACGGGGAGGAGCCCAGAGCCUGAAUCAGCAUGUGUGUUAGUGGAAGCGUCUGGAAAGGCGCGCGAUACAGGGUGACAGCCCCGUACACAAAAGCGCAUGUGCUGUGAGCUCGAUGAGUAGGGCGGGACACGUGGUAUCCUGUCUGAAUAUGGGGGGACCAUCCUCCAAGGCUAAAUACUCCUGACUGACCGAUAGUGAACCAGUACCGUGAGGGAAAGGCGAAAAGAACCCCGGCGAGGGGAGUGAAAAAGAACCUGAAACCGUGUACGUACAAGCAGUGGGAGCACCCUUCGGGGUGUGACUGCGUACCUUUUGUAUAAUGGGUCAGCGACUUAUAUUCUGUAGCAAGGUUAACCGAAUAGGGGAGCCGGAGGGAAACCGAGUCUUAAUUGGGCGUUAAGUUGCAGGGUAUAGACCCGAAACCCGGUG